rnacentral:rRNA from 1 species
AUUGAACGCUGGCGGCAGGCCUAACACAUGCAAGUCGAGCGGAUGAAGGGAGCUUGCUCCUCGAUUCAGCUGCGGACGGGUGAGUAAGUCCUAGGUAUCUGCCUGGUAUUGUUGGCUAACGUCCGGAAACGGGCGCUAAUACCACAUACGUUCUGAUGUAGAAAGGGUUGGAUCUUCGGACCUCACGCUAUUAGAUGAGACUAGGUCGGAUUAGCUAGUUGGUUUGGUAAAGGCCUACCAAGGCGACGUUCCGUAACUGGUCUGAGAGGAUGAUCAGUCACACUGGAACUGAGACACGGUCCAGACUCCUACGGGAGGCAGCAGUGGGGAAUAUUGGACAAUGGGCGAAAGCCUGAUCCAGCAAUGCCGCGUGUGUGAAGAAGGUCUUCGGAUUGUAAAGCACUUUAAGUUGGGAGGAAGAGCAGUAAGUUAAUACCUUGAUGUUUUGACGUUACCAACAGAAUAAGCAACGGCUAACUUCGUG